rnacentral:rRNA from 1 species
GACAGAGGGGGCAAGCGUUGUUCGGAAUUACUGGGCGUAAAGGGCUCGUAGGUGGCCAACUAAGUCACACGUGAAAUCCCUCGGCUUAACCGGGGAACUGCGUGUGAUACUGGAUGGCUUGAGUUUGGGAGAGGGAUGCGGAAUUCCAGGUGUAGCGGUGAAAUGCGUAGAUAUCGGGAGGAACACCAGUGGCGAAGGCGGCUCUCUGGGCCCUACCUGACGCUGAGACGCGAAAGCGUGGGGAGCGAACCGG